GUGACAUCGGCCGGUUCGGUCCAGCCACUAGGUUUUAACCUUUAGUUUUAGCUACGAUUUAAACUGACUAUGACUGGAAGAUAUCGAAAUGAAGAGGAAUAAACUAGUAGUUUAAAUUGAAUCGAGAAACGCAUGAAAGAAGCUCAACCAACAGCGAGGCAACCUCUACUAUCGCGAGUGUCUGUGAUGAAGUUACACCAUUGGUCGGGCGGAACAGCCAGCUAGGCUUUGACCUGGUCUUGUUUAAUAGAGGUUUUAACCACAGCUGUUUUUAGCGCACUUUGGAAAACACCGGACUGAAGAGAGAGUAUUAACAAUUUGCAAUACCUCCUCUGCUAAGCGGUUAAUAUUAGCCUUAAAAAUGCAGUAGGGAGAGGGUCAAGGCAGCAGUUAGAAGAUUUGAGCUUCUGUACAGCUUCUUUAUAUUUAUAACGUCAAUAACAGUAAAAUGUGCCAUAGCUCCUCUACUGUUGUUGUGUGUGGAAGAUAGAGCCAUUACUUUCUUGCCUGACAUAAGUGUACUAAUAGUUUGUCUAAUGAUGAUAAUUUUAUUGGAAAAAAGCAGACAAUUCCUCACAUUUUGAGGUGGAAAGAAACUUGGGGGCUAUUAAUGAAGGGGGUUCACUAGUCUAUCAACAGUGGGGAAAAAGUAUAUGUGUAUUGUUUGCAUUUUCACUAAUGAUCUUGGAGAAAAAGGGCUGUCGAGCACUUUUAAAUUCUAAAUUGUAUUUUUGAAGUCUAUCCUUGUAAAUAUCAUAGUGAACAUGAAGUUUUGUCUUUCCCCACUUUCAUUUUGCCUGCCGGCAUUUUCUUUUUUGCUGUUGUACAACUAUACCGUUACUCCAAGGACCUUUUUGCUUUCCAGAGAUAACUUAACUUAAGAGGCACAAUCUCAUUAAUGCAUUUGUUUAGCUCUACAGUUAAAAUGUUCGACAAGAUGUCUUGAUGACUGAAUGUGUAAUGGGCACAUUAGACCUAGUCAUCAUUUUCAUAAAACUUUUAGCUGUGCUUU